rnacentral:rRNA from 1 species
GAUGAACGCUAGCGGCAGGCCUAACACAUGCGAGUCGAGGGAAAGGAUACGUACGGUUCUCCUAAACCGUCGCACGGGGGCGUAACGCGUAUACAAUCUGCCUUUCCCAUAGGGAUAGCCCUAACAAAGGUGGACUAAUACCUAAUGGUAUAUAUAAUCGGCAUCGUUUUUAUAUUAAAGCUACGGCAGUGUAAGUUGAGUAUGCGUUCUAUUAGCUAGUUGGUGAGGUAACGGCUAAGCAAGGCGACGAUAGAUAGGGGUUAUGAUAGGGAUGUACCCCAGACUGGUACCGAGAUACGGACCAGAAUCCUACGGGAGGGAGCAGUGAGGAAUAUUGGACAAUGGUGGGAAGACUGACCCAGCCAUGCCGGGUGCAGGAGGAAGGGCCUAGGGAUAGUAAACUGCUUUUGAAAGGGAAGAAUAAGAGUUACGGGGAGUUUGAUGACGGUACCUUACGAAUAAGCAUCGGCUAACUCCGUG